rnacentral:lncRNA from 1 species
CUUGCGUAGAGAAGAAGGAGAUCUACACUUUUCCCUUCAGCUGGAAGUGCAACCGGGACUCCCUUCCACCUCGAAUCCCUCUUCCUUCUUCUUUUUUCUUCUUCUUCUUCUCUUUUUCUUUCUCUCUGUGUCGUCUGAGAACCCUUCCCCUCUUCUCUCUGUUUCACUCCCGUGAGCCAGCUCAAACCCUCCAAUUAAAUCACAUCAAAACACUAUUCACCCUUUUU